GAAAGAGUGGCCGAGCGGUCAAAGGCGGCAGGGUAAGGUCGAGGUGGGAAGCGCAAGCCAACACCGAAAGUCCUUUCCAACUAAUUUCCUGUUCACUUAGGGUGGCGCGGGUUCGAAUCCCGUCUCUUUCA
rnacentral:tRNA from 1 species